rnacentral:rRNA from 1 species
UGAGGAAUAUUGGGCAAUGCCCGAAAGGGUGACCCAGCAACGCCGCGUGGAGGAUGAAGGUCGUAAGAUUGUAAACUCCUGUUAGAGGGGACGAAUAUCACCGAUCGACUCGGUGUUUGACUGUACCCUCAGAGAAACCCCCGGCUAACUACGUGCCAGCAGCCGCGGUAAUACGUAGGUGGCAAGCGUUGUCCGGAUUCACUGGGUGUAAAGGGCGCGCAGGCGGGUUAACAAGUCAGAGGUGAAAUCCUACAGCUUAACUGUAGAACUGCCUUUGAAACUGUUAAUCUUGAGUGCGGAAGAGAGAGACGGAAUUCCAGGUGUAGCGGUGAAAUGCGUAGAUAUCUGGAAGAACACCAGUUGCGAAGGCGGUCUCUUGGUCCGUUACUGACGCUCAGGCGCGAAAGCGUGGGGAGCAAACAG